rnacentral:rRNA from 1 species
AUUGAACGCUGGCGGCAUGCCUUACACAUGCAAGUCGAACGGCAGCAUAGGAGCUUGCUCCUGAUGGCGAGUGGCGAACGGGUGAGUAAUAUAUCGGAACGUGCCCUAGAGUGGGGGAUAUCUAGUCGAAAGACUAGCUAAUACCGCAUACGAUCUACGGAUGAAAGUGGGGGAUCGCAAGACCUCAUGCUCCUGGAGCGGCCGAUAUCUGAUUAGCUAGUUGGUGGGGUAAAAGCCUACCAAGGCAACGAUCAGUAGCUGGUCUGAGAGGACGACCAGCCACACUGGGACUGAGACACGGCCCAGAAUCCUACGGGAGGCAGCAGUGGGGAAUUUUGGACAAUGGGGGCAACCCUGAUCCAGCAAUGCCGCGUGAGUGAAGAAGGCCUUCGGGUUGUAAAGCUCUUUUGUCAGGGAAGAAACGGUGGUAGCUAAUAUCUACUACUAAUGACGGUACCUGAAGAAUAAGCACCGGCUAACUACGUGCCAGCCGCCGCCGUAAGAC